rnacentral:rRNA from 1 species
GACGAACGCUGGCGGCGUGCCUAAUACAUGCAAGUAGAACGCUGAAGGAGGAGCUUGCUUCUCUGGAUGAGUUGCGAACGGGUGAGUAACGCGUAGGUAACCUGCCUGGUAGCGGGGGAUAACUAUUGGAAACGAAAGCUAAUACCGCAUAAGAGUAGAUGUCGCAUGACAUUUGCUUAAAAGGUGCAACUGCAUCACUACCAGAUGGACCUGCGUUGUAUUAGCUAGUUGGUGAGGUAACGGCUCACCAAGGCAACGAUACAUAGCCGACCUGAGAGGGUGAUCGGCCACACUGGGACUGAGACACGGCCCAGACUCCUACGGGAGGCAGCAGUAGGGAAUCUUCGGCAAUGGACGGAAGUCUGACCGAGCAACGCCGCGUGAGUGAAGAAGGGUGUCGGAUCGUAAAGCUCUGUUGUAAGAGAAGAACGAGUGUGAGAGUGGAAAGUUCACACUGUGACGGUAUCUUACCAGAAAGGGACGGCUAACUACGUG